rnacentral:lncRNA from 1 species
GCAAAUUAGACUGCAUUAUAUUGAUAUGUUAUUAUCAAUUUCAACUCUGAUUAACUGCCAAUUAACAUAUGGUUGUUUCCAGAGAUGAAACAAUUGAGAACAGUGAACAGAGAGAUGAAGCCUCCUCACCCUGAAACUGCUUAUCUUUGCCCAGAAGUGACUUCUAACUUCCUUAGACAGGUCUGGGGUAUGACCUGGCUGUCAAUAUUCUCCAGCGACCUUCCCAGUAUCAGGAACAGGACUACUAUUCAACCUAUAGCAGUGAGUAUACCAAGCACAUAAAUAUUGUUCCUGAAAUAUCUCUCACUAAAGAAACUAGGACUUCUGGAGAAAAGGAUGAUUCCAAGUUUGAGAUGGGAAAUAUGCAAGAUGAAUCUGGAACAUCUUUUCAUAGCAUGAAACAAAGAAUCUAAGAACAACUGGUUGGACAUCACUGGGUGACAAAACGGUAAGGGGUCGGAGUAUAAGUUUCUCUUUACAGAAUUAUUAUAGCUAAUGAAUGAAGAAGGAUAGACUAUCCACUGUGCAAUCACUAAUGAAUUGUUUGAAUUUCAUAGACAUUAAGAUCAUAGAAAGGCUGACAACCAGACUAUGGAAGAGCAUAAUACUACUAUGAUGUAGUUUUGCCUCCAGAUAUAGGGACACAAUACCAUCCAUGAAAUAGUCUUGCUAACAAUAUUGAACCUAGAUAUGAUAAAACCUCCAGGUCGAAUGAUAAUACACAUGCAAUAAGUGUCAACAUUUUGAUAAUCUAGUUUAAAAAUAUACAAGAGAAUUCUUUUUACUAACUUUCCAACUUCCCUUUAAUUCUAAAAUUAUUUGAAAAAAAAUUUUUUUAAACAGGACUUUUUUUCCUUUUGGUUGUUGAUACAACCCAAGCAGCUAGGACAGGUCCAGACAUGAACUCAGUAAAUAGUUCCUCAAAGAAUGAAAAACUAAUGUCAAGUAAGGACUCCAGUCUAGAAAGGUAGGAUUAGGAACAUUCCCCAUAAAAAUGGGAGUAGAGUACCUGUGAAUUGAUCUCUGCACAUGAAGAGAGUGUGUCAAGAGAAAAGCUGGUUUAGAACUAUAGUUUCCAUCAUUCGUUAGAAAAAUGUUUAUUUUAUGCUCCAUCCUUUCAUCUUCUACCAUAAUAAACUAUGAUUGGUAUUUUUACA